AGUGAACGCUGGCGGCAGGCCUAACACAUGCAAGUCGAGCGGAUGAAGGGAGCUUGCUCCUGGAUUCAGCGGCGGACGGGUGAGUAAUGCCUAGGAAUCUGCCUGGUAGUGUGGGAUAACGUCCGGAAACGGGCGCUAAUACCGCAUACGUCCUGAGGGAGAAAGUGUGGGAUCUUCGGACCUCACGCUAUCAGAUGAGCCUAGGUCGGAUUAGCUAGUUGGUGGGGUAAAGGCCUACCAAGGCGACGAUCCGUAACUGGUCUGAGAGGAUGAUCAGUCACACUGGAACUGAGACACGGUCCAGACUCCUACGGGAGGCAGCAGUGGGGAAUAUUGGACAAUGGGCGAAAGCCUGAUCCAGCCAUGCCGCGUGUGUGAAGAAGGUCUUCGGAUUGUAAAGCACUUUUAGUGGGGAGGAAGGGCAGUAAGUUAAUACCUCGCUGUUUUGACGUUACCAACAGAAUAAGCACCGGCUAACUUCGUG
rnacentral:rRNA from 1 species